GCCUCAGUAGCUCAAUGGAUAGAGUACCUGACUUCGAAUCAGUUGGUUGGGGGUUCGACUCCCUCCUGGGGCA
rnacentral:tRNA from 1 species